rnacentral:lncRNA from 1 species
UUAGGUGUUGCAUUUGUACAUAUUGCAUACACAGGGGUUAAAAUGCACAAUCAAGAGUUAUGGAGCCAUUUCGAGGACUUUUCUAUACAAAACAGAAGUUACGGGGUCGAACUAGAAAGGAGGCAAAAUGCAGAGACCAAAUGUGCAAUUUUGCAGAAGUUCACCAUGUGUGUGUCGCGAGCUUCAGAGCGUUCGAUGUGGAGAAGGGAUAUGCUCGAUCCGAUGCUCUCGGCCGUGAUGCGUUUAUGUCUUGCUCCCGAAGAGUUCCAAUCGAUCGAUGCCUGAAGACGAGCUUGCUAGCUUCACCCCUCUUGAUCUGAAACCCACAGCCGUGAAGAGCAAAGCGAACGAUGAUGAUAUUGUGGCUUGGUCGAUUCGUUCUCCUCGAUCCCACCUGAUGAUUCUCGAGCUUGGACGAUUGCAAGGGAGGAGACGAGCUUGUUUUAGUUGUUCCGACGACAAGACGAGCUCCGGUAGUCACACGAAUUGGCCGACAAAGAAGACGAGACGCAGCGGCUCAGGUAUGUCGGAGGUGUGGUCUCGGCGAGAAGGCAGAGCUCCGGUGGUCGCCACACGAAACGAAACGAAGCAAGCUCUAGUCACAGACUCGUGAAGAAGAAGACCCAAGCAGUUGGAGCAAUGGAGGAUUUGCGAGGAAGAUGAAGAAACGCAGUCGCCAAACGCGAUUUCCAAACGCUAAACGCCAAACGCGAUUUUGACUUGACCGCAGCGUUUUGUAAAUCUGCGUUUGACCUUUAUUUUAAGGACCUAUAAAUAAUUGUUAAGGAAAAACCCCCCCCCCCGGGAUCUUAGUUUUCAGAUCUAUUUUUCUCUUUUAAAAACUUUUGUAAAAGCUUGAAUCUUUAUCAUCUUUAAACAUUUUAAUCUUGUGUUAUUUUGAUUAUCUCUUUUUCUAAUUAUGAUUAGCCUUAAACUAAACCAUUGUUUCAAGGUUUUCAUGACUAUUAGUGAGUAAUCUCCCAUAAAUUUAUGGGCUAGGUAGAUUAGGGUGAAAGGUGGAAGAUUAAAGAUGCUCAGAACUAGAUUAGUAAUGUUUCUUACAAAUGAGAUGUGCUUAAUGCUAGAGUAGACUUGAUCUAUCUAUUUCUAAAUUCUGGAUUAUUUCAUGCCCGAAAAGUGUUCGAUGAAAUGUCUGAAUGUCUCAUAUUAUGUUUUGCUGUUUGACCGACGAGAGUCGCUGCAUUAAGGGCACUUCGACUAUUAGGACUUGUUUGAAUGCAUGCUUGAGUGUAGUUGACCAACGAGAGUUGAUGUAUUGAUGCAUGACUAGUGCAGGAGUUAUUAUCACGAGAGUGGAUUAACUUAUCAUUGUGUUCCUAGGUUAAAGAAACUUAUUAGUUGAUUGUGUUGAGCAUCUUAAGUCUGAAGCCUAUCACCCGAAAUCGAUUGCCUUGUCCCAUGAGUUUAGCCUUUAAUCUUGAUUAUAAUCUGUUCUUGCUUGAGUUUAUUGUCUAAAACUUAGCUCAUCAUUCUAAAACCAACUUGAUUUGCUUAGAUUAAAUGACUUCUUGUAUUCUACAUGCUUUAAACAAUCUUAGGUUGGAUUGACAUCUUUAAUACUACAUAGACACAUCAAGUUUUGGCGCCGUUGCCAUCCUAAGACUAGCUUUAAACAUAGAGAUUUGGUUGUUGUUUACGACUAAGUUUUAUUUUUAUUUUGUUACUUACUUUCUCUACUCUUCACUCUUUGUCAUCAACAGAUGAAUGCACCUGCGAAAUAGAGGAUCAACAGAUUUAACUCGAUGGGUCGAAGAAAUUCGAGCACACGAAAGAGCGAUAGCAAGAGAAAGACGUGACCAGGAACGACUUGAACAGCUGGAAAGACAAAGGUUGAACAUGGAACAAGAACAACAUCAUCCUCAAGAACAAGUCGCUGCUCAGGGCAUUCAUGCCCAAGCAUGCAAUGGUCAGGGAGCUGCCAACCCUAGACCCGUCCACCAACCCCGAAAUCCGCGAGCCAUAGGUGCUCAUGACGAGCCAACCAUACAUAACAACCUGACGGGCAUUCGCGCACCACCGGGGGCGAACAACAACUUUGAGAUCAAGUCAAACUUGAUCAACAUGAUACAAUCUAACAAGUAUCAUGGACUGCCAAUGGAGGAUCCUCUAGAUCAUCUCCACACAUUUGACAGGCUUUGUGGGACUGUCAGGAUCAAUGGCAUUUCUGAAGAUGCUUUCAAACUCAAACUCUUCCCGUUUUCACUUGGAGACAGAGCACACUUAUGGGAGAAGACCCUACUUUCAAGCUCGGUCGAAACCUGGGACAAAUGCAAGAAAGUAUUUUUAACCAAGUUCUUUUCUACUUCUAGAACUGCACGACUCCGAAAUGAAAUCAAUGGAUUCACACAGAAGGGACUUGAAAGCUUCGGAGAAGCAUGGGAGCGCUUCAAAGGCUACACAAUGAAAUGCCCUCACCAUGGUUUCUCAAAGAAAAGUAUACUCAGUACAUUCUACAGAGGACUUCUUCCAGAGUUUCGAUCAAGGCUUGACACAACGAGUAAUGGUAAUUUCUUAGGACGUGAGGAACAAGAUGGAAUGCAGUUAAUUGAGAACUUAGCCCUGACUGACUCCACCUACUGCGAUGACUAUGAUCGCUCAAUUAGGGGUACUGUGACUCAAGAUGAGCAAGCUAGAAAGGAUUUAAAAGUGCUAAGAGGAGAGAUGGACCAACUUCUUCAGCUUCAGAAGAAACAAGUUCACUACAUUGGUGAAUAUGAUCAACAGCUGGUCCAAAUUGAGCCUCAAGAGGAAUUUGUGCAGAGUGUCCAGGAAGAAGUUAACUAUGUAGGAGGACAAGGAAACUACAAUCAAAACUUCAACUACAGAAAUCAGAACACUCAGAUCCCUCAAGGACUGAACACACUGCAAGACAACUUUCAAAACAAGCCUCAAUAUAUCCCUCAAGGCAACUACCAGCAGAAACCUUUCUAUAACAAUCAGCAAGGCAACUUCCAGCAAAGAGCCUACAACAACCCACCACCUGGGUUUUACCCUAAUAAAGGUAACCAGCAAAACCAAGGUCAAGGAAUCUCCUCCAAUGCACCACCAACAUAAAGCAGUACGAAUUUCCUCCUCAAACAGCUUCUGGCCUCACAUGCCAAAUUUGAUAAAAGAAUUGAAGAUAUGGAUUCUAAGAUCACUGGAUCCUACAGAGCUCUCAAUUCCAGAAUGGAUGCUCUUGAAAAUCAGUUUGCCACUAUGAACACAAAUUCUAAAAGGCCAAUGGGUUCACUCCCUGGAAAGCCUGAGGAAAACCCGAAAGAAUUCAUUGGGGCAAUCACACUGAGGAGUGGGAAAGAAUUACCUUCAAGAGAUCUCAUUCGGGACAAUGAGAAACAGGAAGGGGAGGUGAUCAUCAAUGUGGAAGACAAUGUGGUGAUUUUGGAUGAGAAAAAGGAUGAGGAGAUCCUUCAGAAGAUUGUGGACUCAAAAGGAAAAGGGAAAGUAGUUGAAGAGAAAAAGGACACAACUGAGAAAGGAGGCGCUUCCACUGCAAAUGACACUCCAUUUGUGCCUCCUCCAUAUGAACCCAAGCUCCCAUUCCCUGGAAGAUUCAAGAAGCAGCUGGUUGACAAGUACAAAGCUCUCUUCGAGAAGCAAUUGCAUGAAGUUCAGAUUCAAAUGCCAAUCCUUGACGCAUUCAUGUUGGUGCCUCAAUACAGCAAAUUUUUGAAAGAUGCAGUCAAGGAAAAACAGAAGAAGUUAUAAGGAAUGGUAGUGCUCACACAGGAGUGUAGUGCAAUCAUCACAAAGACUGAUGUUCCAAAGAAGUUAGAGGAUCCAAGAUGCUUCACUCUCCCAUGCUCUCUUGGACCCUUGAAGUUUGAAAAUUGUCUACGCGAUCUUGGAGCAAGCAUCAGUCUGAUGCCACUUUCGGUAGCUAAGCGGCUUGGAUUCACUCAGUUUAAGAAGUGUCGCCUCUCUUUGGUACUGGCUGACAGAUCAGUAAGGUUGCCCAUUGGAAUACUUAAGGACCUUCCUGUCAUGGUUGGAAACUGUGAAGUACCCACUGACUUCGUCGUUCUUGAGAUGGACGAGGAACCCAAAGACCCCUUGCUCUUUGGUAGACCAUUCCUUGCUACUGCAGGAGCUGUCAUUGAUGUAAAUAAUGGCAAGAUAGAUCUUCAUCUUGGGAAAAAUAAUGUUCUGAAAUUUGAUAUCAGAGAUGUGAUGAAGAAGCCUACAAUAGAAGGGCAAGUCUUUUACAUAGAAACCAUGGAUUCACUCGCUGACGAGUUUCUGGAAGAGCUGGCUAUUGAAGACUCCCUUCAGCAUGCUCUUACCAUUGAAAAAGAAGAUCAACUGAUCGAGAGCAAGAAAAGCGAUGAGUACUCAAGGAGGAUGGACUCUUGCAAGAUGGCAGAGGAUGCAGAUCAGUUCAUGGACUUACCAGAGAUCAAUCACCAUGCCCACUCAGUGGAACAGCAGGAUGAAGCUCUCAACGAUGAUUGGAGUGAGCUCAAAGCCCCAAAGGUGGACCUGAAACCGCUUCCCAAUGGGCUCAGGUACGCUUUUCUUGGACCAAAUGAAACUUAUCCAGUGAUUGUGAAUGUUGAUCUCACUGAUGAUGAAUUGUCUUUACUCUUGAAUGAACUGAGAAAAUAUAGAAAGGCAAUUGGUUACUCUCUAGAUGAUAUUAGAGGAAUUUCACCUUCACUUUGCAUGCACAGGAUACACUUAGAAGAUGAAUCAAUGACUUCUAUAGAACAUCAAAGAAGGUUGAAUCCCAACCUGAAAGAUGUUGUUAAGAAAGAGAUUCUAAAACUUUUGGAUGCGGGGAUAAUCUAUCCUAUUUCUGAUAGUACCUGGAUUUCCCCCGUCCAUGUUGUGCCAAAGAAGGGCGGAAUCACUGUGGUUAGGAAUGAAAAAGAUGAAUUAAUUCCAACUAGAACAAUCACAGGUCAUCGAAUGUGCAUUGACUAUAGGAAAUUAAACUCUGCAUCUAGAAAAGAUCAUUUUCCUUUGCCAUUCAUUGAUCAAAUGCUUGAGCGUCUUACUAACCACCCCUAUUAUUGCUUUCUUGAUGGAUACUCGAGAUUCUUCCAAAUCCCCAUACAUCCCAAUGAUCAGGAGAAAACGACUUUCACCUGUCCAUAUGAUACCUUCGCAUAUCGAAGGAUGCCAUUCGGAUUGUGUAAUGCACCAGCAACCUUUCAGAGGGCUAUGAUGUCGAUUUUCUCUGAUCUUAUUGAGGAAGUUGUGGAGGUAUGCAUGGAUGAUUUCUCUGUAUAUGGUUCUUCUUUUGCCUCGUGUUUGUCUAAUCUGUGCAGGGUCUUACAAAGAUGUGAAGAAACAAAUCUCGUCCUCAACUGGGAAAAAUGCCACUUCAUGGUGAAAGAAGGGAUUGUUCUGGGUCACAAAAUCUCUGAGAAAGGCAUAGAGGUUGAUCAGGCUAAGAUUGAUGUCAUGAUGGGUUUACAACCGCCAACAUCUGUGACAGGGAUCAUAAGUUUCCUUGGACAUGCAGGCUUCUACAGGCGCUUCACAAAAGACUUCUCGAAAGUAGCGCAGCCAUUGACCCGACUCUUGUGCAAAGAAAUUGAGUUCUGUUUCAGCCAGGAAUGUCUUGAAGCAUUCAACAAGCUGAAGAAUGAUCUGGUGUGUGCCCCUAUUGUUCAACCGCAUGAAAGGACCUUCCUGUCAUGGUUGGAAACUGUGAAGUACCCACUGACUUCGUCGUUCUUGAGAUGGACGAGGAACCCAAAGACCCCUUGCUCUUUGGUAGACCAUUCCUUGCUACUGCAGGAGCUGUCAUUGAUGUAAAUAAUGGCAAGAUAGAUCUUCAUCUUGGGAAAAAUAAUGUUCUGAAAUUUGAUAUCAGAGAUGUGAUGAAGAAGCCUACAAUAGAAGGGCAAGUCUUUUACAUAGAAACCAUGGAUUCACUCGCUGACGAGUUUCUGGAAGAGCUGGCUAUUGAAGACUCCCUUCAGCAUGCUCUUACCAUUGAAAAAGAAGAUCAACUGAUCGAGAGCAAGAAAAGCGAUGAGUACUCAAGGAGGAUGGACUCUUGCAAGAUGGCAGAGGAUGCAGAUCAGUUCAUGGACUUACCAGAGAUCAAUCACCAUGCCCACUCAGUGGAACAGCAGGAUGAAGCUCUCAACGAUGAUUGGAGUGAGCUCAAAGCCCCAAAGGUGGACCUGAAACCGCUUCCCAAUGGGCUCAGGUACGCUUUUCUUGGACCAAAUGAAACUUAUCCAGUGAUUGUGAAUGUUGAUCUCACUGAUGAUGAAUUGUCUUUACUCCUGAAUGAACUGAGAAAAUAUAGAAAGGCAAUUGGUUACUCUCUAGAUGAUAUUAGAGGAAUUUCACCUUCACUUUGCAUGCACAGGAUACACUUAGAAGAUGAAUCAAUGACUUCUAUAGAACAUCAAAGAAGGUUGAAUCCCAACCUGAAAGAUGUUGUUAAGAAAGAGAUUCUAAAACUUUUGGAUGCGGGGAUAAUCUAUCAUAUUUCUGAUAGUACCUGGAUUUCCCCCGUCCAUGUUGUGCCAAAGAAGGGCGGAAUCACUGUGGUUAGGAAUGAAAAAGAUGAAUUAAUUCCAACUAGAACAAUCACAGGUCAUCGAAUGUGCAUUGACUAUAGGAAAUUAAACUCUGCAUCUAGAAAAGAUCAUUUUCCUUUGCCAUUCAUUGAUCAAAUGCUUGAGCGUCUUACUAACCACCCCUAUUAUUGCUUUCUUGAUGGAUACUCGAGAUUCUUCCAAAUCCCCAUACAUCCCAAUGAUCAGGAGAAAACGACUUUCACCUGUCCAUAUGAUACCUUCGCAUAUCGAAGGAUGCCAUUCGGAUUGUGUAAUGCACCAGCAACCUUUCAGAGGGCUAUGAUGUCGAUUUUCUCUGAUCUUAUUGAGGAAGUUGUGGAGGUAUGCAUGGAUGAUUUCUCUGUAUAUGGUUCUUCUUUUGCCUCGUGUUUGUCUAAUCUGUGCAGGGUCUUACAAAGAUGUGAAGAAACAAAUCUCGUCCUCAACUGGGAAAAAUGCCACUUCAUGGUGAAAGAAGGGAUUGUUCUGGGUCACAAAAUCUCUGAGAAAGGCAUAGAGGUUGAUCAGGCUAAGAUUGAUGUCAUGAUGGGUUUACAACCGCCAACAUCUGUGACAGGGAUCAUAAGUUUCCUUGGACAUGCAGGCUUCUACAGGCGCUUCACAAAAGACUUCUCGAAAGUAGCGCAGCCAUUGACCCGACUCUUGUGCAAAGAAAUUGAGUUCUGUUUCAGCCAGGAAUGUCUUGAAGCAUUCAACAAGCUGAAGAAUGAUCUGGUGUGUGCCCCUAUUGUUCAACCGCAUGAUUGGGACCUUCCUUUCGAGAUCAUGUGCGAUGCCAGCGACUAUGCUGUUGGGGAAGUGUUGGGGCAAAUGAAAGGCAAUAAAUCUCAUGUGAUCUACUAUGCCAGUCGCACUCUUGAUGAAGCACAGGUGAACUAUACCUCCACAGAGAAAGAGCUUCUAGCAGUGGUCUUUGCAUUUGAAAAAUUCAGAAGCUAUCUGGUUGGAUCAAAGGUAGUUGUCUACACAGAUCAUGCUGCUUUAAGACAUCUACUGGCAAAGAAAGAGGCAAAGCCAAGACUUCUGAGAUGGAUCUUACUACUCCAGGAGUUUGAUCUUGAAAUUAAGGAUAGGCCAGGAGUGGAAAACGGUGUAGCUGAUCAUCUGUCCAGGUUGAGAAUUGAAGGAGGGAUUCCUAUUGAUGAGGGACUCCCUGAAGAGCAAAUAAUGGCUAUUAAAGCAGUUGAUUUUGCUUACAAGACUAGAGAAAGGUUAGAAGAGGCCAAGGCAUUGGAAGAAAGAUUACCUUGGUAUGCAGACUUGGUGAACUACUUAGCUUCUGGAAAAGAACCGUUGGGGCUUGAAGGAUAUCAGAGGAAGAAAUUCUUCAAGGGCGUCAAGAGAUACUUUUGGGAUGAGCCAUAUCUCUAUACACGGUGUAAGGAUCAGCUUUACAGAAGAGUUGUAGCUGAGGAAGAAAUUGAAGGCAUCCUUUCAUGAUCAGGAGAAAACGACUUUCACCUGUCCAUAUGAUACCUUCGCAUAUCGAAGGAUGCCAUUCGGAUUGUGUAAUGCACCAGCAACCUUUCAGAGGGCUAUGAUGUCGAUUUUCUCUGAUCUUAUUGAGCAUAUGUUCAAAGACACACAAGAGUUUGUGUCCAAAUGCGACUCAUGCCAAAGAAGAGGUAACAUCAGUAAGAGAAACGAGAUGCCUCAGAAUCCAAUUCUGGAAGUUGAGGUGUUUGAUGUCUGGGGCAUAGACUUCGUGGGGCCAUUUCCCAUGUCUUUCGGGAACAAAUAUAUCUUGGUGACUGUCGAUUAUGUAUCCAAAUGGGUUGAGGCAAUUGCUAGUCCAACCAACGAUUCCAGAGUAGUCAUCAAGAUGUUCAAGACCAUCAUCUUUCCUAGAUUUGGAGUUCCAAGAGUUGUGAUCAGUGAUGGAGGAUCUCACUUUAUCAACAAAAUCUUCGAGAGCUUAAUGAAAAAGAAUGGGGUUAAGCAUAAGGUAGCAACACCUUACCACCCUCAGACUAGUGGACAAGUUGAGGUUUCCAACAGGGAGAUUAAAGCCAUCCUGGAGAAAACUAUGGGAACAACAAGGAAAGACUGGUAGUGAAGUUGGAUGAUGCACUCUCGGCAUACAGAACAGCUUUCAAAACACCACUUUGGACAACGCCUUUCAACUUAGUCUACGGAAAGUCUUGCCACCUUCCGGUCGAGCUUGAAUACAAAGCCUUGUGGGCUGUUAAGCUCGCAUGAUUGGGACCUUCCUUUCGAGAUCAUGUGCGAUGCCAGCGACUAUGCUGUUGGGGAAGUGUUGGGGCAAAUGAAAGGCAAUAAAUCUCAUGUGAUCUACUAUGCCAGUCGCACUCUUGAUGAAGCACAGGUGAACUAUACCUCCACAGAGAAAGAGCUUCUAGCAGUGGUCUUUGCAUUUGAAAAAUUCAGAAGCUAUCUGGUUGGAUCAAAGGUAGUUGUCUACACAGAUCAUGCUGCUUUAAGACAUCUACUGGCAAAGAAAGAGGCAAAGCCAAGACUUCUGAGAUGGAUCUUACUACUCCAGGAGUUUGAUCUUGAAAUUAAGGGUUGAAGAUUUUUCCCGGAAAACUCAAGUCAAGGUGGUCAGGACCUUUUGUGAUCAAGGAAGUAAGACCGUAUGGAGCUGUGGUGUUGACAGGAAAGCAUGGAGAAUAUUUUACAGUGAAUGGUCAACGUUUAAAGCUCUACAUGGUUGAUCAGGAGAUUGGUGAGGAAGCCUCGGUUCCUCUCUCUGAACCAAUCUCAGCCUAAGAAAUGAAAAGGAAGUCAAGCUAAGAGACUUAAAACAAUCGCACUUGAGAGGCAAUCUCACGUUAUCCUUUGUAUAUAUUAUCUACUUAUAUUUGUUAAAAAGGAUUGCAGGUCUACGCAAGAAGGCAACAAACAAGUUCGGGGGAACUCUGCAUCUCUUCCCACCCAAUCUACCCUCCCAUACUUCUAGCUCAGGCUCAAGGUAAGUGUCAUUCCAUCCCUGCGCAUAUUUAGUUUGUUUUAUUUCAUCUUUUGUGGUCUUUCCUUCAUCUUCACUCUCACACAAGGGACUGUGUGAAGUAAGUUUGGGGGAGAGACCUGUUAUCUCACAUAUUCUUUUGUUUUCUCUGAGUCUCAUGCAUCACAUUGUUAAUACUUAUUGCAUUUAAAAAACCCAUAAGAAUUUGAAAUUUUUUGAAAAACAAAAACAACAUUUAGAUUCAUUUUGUUACAUUUCAUUAUUAGGAUCGAGUCUACAAGCAUAUAGGUUGCAUUCAUGUGCAUAGGAAGCUGCUGCAAAGAACUCAUGCUAAGAACUCAGUGUGAUACCCGUUUUAAUCAUAGUAAGUAGCAUGAACAUAUCUUGAAAGUCUUGUAAGUUUUGAGCCUUGAAAACUCUUCUUGAACUCAUUGCUUGGUUGAAACUGCUUGUCCUUGAUUCCAACUCCAAUGUAUUUGAGUCUAAAGAACCUAAUUUCUCUCGCUUAUGGGCUCUUGAAUGCUUGAUCAUGGAUACCUUAUACACACUUGGAUUGUCUUUACUCCAUUUCCACCAAUCUCUGUCAAUCCAAGUGGCCAUCUUAGGAUGGUUUCCACUCCUUAAGCCAUACCCUUCCUUUCAGACCAAUGUUAAAUUGCUUGAGUGAUGCCUGUUUCUGAUAGCUUUGACAUGUGCAAAAACUUGAGAGUAUUGGGAACGACGACUGUUGGUUCUCAUUUUGGCUAGCUAUUAGGACUUCAUUUGAGCUAGCAAUUAGGAUGGGCAGUGGGUUUAGAAUGUAUCUAAGGUCUGGGCUGAGCAUGUUAUUUGGAUCAAGGAGGGAAGAAAAAGAAUGAACCACAAAAGUGAGAGGUCACUAGGGAUCAAAAGAAACUUUAGCUAUAAGAAGAAGAGAAGAAAAGAACCCCUGAUUGAAAAAAAAAAUGAAAAGUGUGGGGGAAAAAAAAGAAAAUAGAGCUAAGUGAAGAAAUAUACCAAGGAAUCCCUAGUAGACUAGCAAUGAAAGAGUGAGUUCAUCUGGUGAGUGAAAAAGAGUGAAAGGUUAUUUGGGUUUUGGGUGAGAAAAAGAAAGAUUGACAUGAGGAAAAAGGUAGAACAGUGAGGACUAACUGUUGUAUGCAUAAAUUGUUCUCCUUCUUAUAUAGAUUUUGCAUAAUGUCAUUGCUCCUAUGUUUGAGAGUGAACCACCCACCAAAAAGCGCUGAACCUUUUGCUUCACUAUUUACAACCAUUUCUUCACCUUACCAAAUGAUCAGGAUAAAGUUCCCAUCUGCGAGACUUCACCUUGAGACUUGGUUUUAAUGAAUGUGAGGGUUGGUUGAAUGACUUGUAAUGGAUUCUAAGUGGUGAGGGUAGAGAAACAAAAUUUGGAGUUGAGGUAGGCCUUGAGAAACUAGAGUUCAAUAAGGAAUCAUGUCUUUGCUAUUUGUUAUGAUUUUGUAUGGAUGUCAUGUUGAAGGCUUUGAAGAGUCUCUUUACUUAGCAAUUUCCAUUUUCAAACCUCUCUUUCCCACUCUUCUUGAAAGUUUACUUGUGGACAAGUAAAGAAGCAAGUUUGGGGGAGUUGAUAUAUAGUCUAUUUACAUGUUUUUAGCUAUAGAUUAUGGUCAUUUUUAGUGUUUAGGAGUUGCAUUUAGAUGUCACUAGAUGUUGCAUUUGUACAUAUUGCAUACACAGGGGUUAAAAUGCACAAUCAAGAGUUUUGGAGCCAUUUCGAGGACUUUUCUAUACAAAACAGAAGUUACGGGGUCGAACUAGAAAGGAGGCAAAAUGCAGGGACCAAAUGUGCAAUUUCGCAGAAUUUCACCAUGUGUGUGUCGCGAGCUUCAGAGCGUUCGAUGUGGAGAAGGGAUAUGCUCGAUCCGAUGCUCUCGGCCGUGAUGCGUUUAUGUCUUGCUCCCGAAGAGUUCCAAUCGAUCGAUGCCUGAAGACGAGCUUGCUCGCUUCACCCCUCUUGAUCUGAAACCCACAGCCGUGAAGAGCAAAGCGAACGAUGGUGAUAUUGUGGCUUGGUCGAUUCGUUCUCCUCGAUCCCACCUGAUGAUUCUCGAGCUUGGACGAUCGCAAGGGAGGAGACGAGCUUGUUUUAGUUGUUCCGACGAGAAGACGAGCUCCGGUAGUCACCACACGAAUUGGCCGACGAAGAAGACGAGACGCAUCGGCUCAGGUAUGGCGGAGGUGUGGUCUCGGCAAGAAGGCAGAGCUCCGGUGGUCGCCACACGAAACGAAACGAAGCAAGCUCCAGUCACAGACUCGUGAAGAAGAAGACCCAAGCAGUUGGAGCAAUGGAGGAUUUGCG